AUGUCGCUCGACCGGAGCUUCUCCACCUCCGCCGCCCUCUCGCGCCUCCUCGCCCGCUGCCCCGCGCUCGGCGCCGACCCGUGCCUCCUCGCCCUCGCGUCUGCGCCCGCCGCACCUACCUGGGACGACGUCGCCGCCGCGCUCGCCGAGCCGCUCCUCCACCCACGCUACACCGUCCCCAUCAUCGGCUGCUUCCGCCCACUCGCGCCCGCACUCGUCGACCACGCCUCUGAGCUCCUCCGCACCGCAGCGCCCGCCCUCCUCGUCGACAGUGUCGCCAGCCAGGAGGAGGAGGUCGGGGAGGGGGAUGCCCGCGUCGUUGAGUUCUACCUCUCGAGGGGAAGGGGCUUGCGGCUGCACGAGCUCGCGUGCCUCGCGCUCUCCCGGGCCCUCGACCUUGCCCCCCACUUGAUUCGACGCGUAUUAAAGUAUUUCAAGUUUUCUCCACCGCCAUUCCAGAGACUUCUUCGUGAAGGUGUUCCAUCGCUUACUCAGGGAUUACAUCUGUUCCUUGAUGCCACCCAAGUAUCAUACCGGUUUCUAGAAUUGGAACCCAGGGUAUUUUGUGAACAAUGGGACUGGUCUUGCUUUUUGGACCUUGUAAAUGGUACAACUGAUUAUAGGCUAGUGGACGACUCACUUCAUAGUGUUGUAUUGGAUUUAAGAUGGUGUGCAAUACAAAUACUCGUGGUGGUUUUUAAAGCAAGUGAUAUGGGCAAUGCAAGUUUUGGUCUUGGGGCGGAUGAUGCAUUUACAUGUUUACUGAGAUGGAAGGAGUUUUGCACGGACACUUCGUUAGAGAAAGCCUCUUUGUAUCUGCAGACUGAGGAAGGCAAUUCUAACAUUGAUUUAACUUCUUUGGCUGAUACUUUGUUGGAUUGGUCAGAGGUUACAACGGGAAAGGAAUAUAACAUUGGAUGUAACAUAUGUCCGUUUGUGCUCACAGCCACUAUGCGCAAGAGUCAUGAGGUAGCUCUGAUGGCAGUUAGCCAGAGGUGGCCUGUACUUCUCUAUGGUCCUGUUGGAGCGGGGAAAACCGCACUCAUUAAUGAGUUGGCACAGAAUCGCGGGAAUCGAGUACUUUUUAUCCACAUGGACGAGCAAAUGGAUGGCCGGACAUUAGUUGGGAGUUACGUUUGCACUGAAAAACCUGGUGAAUUCAAGUGGGCUCCUGGUUCUCUCACACAGGCCAUUGUCAAAGGGUUUUGGAUUGUGUUUGAAGACAUCGACAAGGCACCCACUGAUGUGCAGUCAAUCUUACUACCCUUAUUGGAAGGUUCAAGCUCCUUCUCAAUUGGGCAUGCGGAGGCAGUUGAAGUUGCCGAUGGUUUCCGUUUAUUUGCUACUGUCACCACCUCAAAGCAUGAUUUUUCACAUGCCCUGGAAGGGAGGUUAACCUAUAGUGGCCUGUGGAGAAAAGUGAUGCUGGGAGAACCUAACCGUGAAGACAUGGUUAAUAUAGUUAAUGGAUGCUACCCAAGCUUGGAUACUAUCUCCUCUAAACUCAUAGAUACCUUUGAGAAGGUCAAUUCUCUGGUAUCUUACCAGUUUGGUGGGCUCAACUUAGCUGGAGGUUUUUCUGAUGGCAUUCUACACAGAUUCUCAUUAAGGGACCUGCUCAAAUGGUGUAAGAGAAUAGUUGGAGUUGAUCUCAACUUUGAGGGUCUGGGACUUGCAUCUAGUGGUUACCAAUUCAUCUAUUAUGAGGCUGCUGAUAUUUUUGCUGCUUCCUUAUCAUCUCCGGAUAAAAGGCAAUAUGUAGCAAGAGAAAUUGCUAGAAUAUUGGGUUUAUUUCAUCAGGCAGAAACCAUGCAUCCUACCGACAAGCCCAUUAUUCAGGCUCGGCACACCGACUUGCAAGUUGGCAGAGUUACUCUGCAAUGCAGCGACAAACCAGCAUUAAUUCAGAAGGGGCCUUUUGCUGAUAUUCGCAGCGCACUAGAUGUUCUUGAGAGGGUUGCAUGUUCAAUAAAGUUCAAUGAGCCUGUUCUUCUUGUUGGCGAAACCGGCACGGGGAAGACCACUCUCGUGCAAAAUCUUGCUUCCUGGCUCAAACAAUCUUUGACUGUAGUGAACUUAAGCCAGCAAAGUGAUAUAUCUGAUCUCCUCGGUGGAUUUAAGCCUACAGAUGCUCGGUCAAUAUGCUUUCCUCUUUAUAUGGAGUUCAAGGAUCUAUUUUGUCAAAGUUUUUCUAAAGAGGCGAAUGAAGAUCUUUUACAUUAUUUUGAUGUAUACGUAAUGGAGAAGAAUUGGGUAAAAUUAUUAAAUUCGUUGGCGAAGUGUGCUAAGAAUGCUCAUAAGCUACUUGAAGGCAAGAAGAGAAAAAGGUCUUUGGGUGAAUGGGACUCCCUUUUUUCCAGGCUAAAUGUUGCCCAUAGUCAACUUGGUUCAGCAAGUGGCAUGUCAUUUCAGUUUGCAGAGGGUGCUUUUGUUUCAGCUUUAAGAAAUGGCCAUUGGAUUUUGCUUGAUGAGGUCAACCUUGCACCUCCAGAGACUCUUCAGAGAAUUGGUGCUGUACUGGAUGGAGAGAAGGGCACGCUGUGCCUUGCUGAAAGGGGUGAUGUGGAUUAUAUUGAACGUCAUCCUCGCUUUCGUAUGUUUGCUUGCAUGAAUCCGGCAACGGAUGCUGGGAAAAGAGAGUUGCCAUAUGCUUUUAGGAGCAGAUUUACAGAAUGCUUUGUUGAUGAUCUCAUGGAUGAUGAUGAUCUCCGUCUUUUUGCCAGUAAAUAUUUGGAUGGCCUGCAUACUGCUAAAGGAGUUAUAGAUAGCAUUGUUUGUUUCUAUAAGGCGGCGAAAAAGGAAUCUGAGGAGAAGCUGCAGGAUGGAGCCAAUCAGAAGCCCCAAUUUACUCUGAGAUCUCUUUCUCGUGCAUUAGGUUAUGUAAAAAUUGCAGAGAAAUCUUUUGGCUUCAGGAAAGCUCUUUAUGAUGGCUUCUGUAUGUUCUUUCUUACAAUGCUGGAUGUCCCUAGUGCAAAAAUCAUUAAGAACAUAAUAGUAUCUCUUUUGUUGAAUGGAAGAGUGCCACCAAGCAUUUCUUUUGCUGACUACUUUGUUGAAAAGCCUAAGCAACUAAAUGAUUCCGAAUCAGAUGAAUUUUUGUCCAGCUAUGUGUUAACCAGCAGUGUUACUGAGCACAUUGUCAACCUUGCCCGAGCUGUUUACAUUAAAAGAUAUCCUGUUCUCCUGCAAGGUCCAACAUCAAGUGGCAAAACUAGCUUAGUGAGGUAUCUUGCUGCAAAAACUGGCCAUGAAUUUGUCCGCAUAAACAACCAUGAGCAUACUGAUCUUCAAGAAUAUCUUGGUACGUAUGUCCCGGACAGUCACGGGAAGCUUCAGUUUCAGGAGGGUGCUUUGGUGAAGGCUGUACGUGAGGGGCACUGGAUUGUGUUGGAUGAGCUAAAUCUUGCACCUUCUGAUGUUUUGGAAGCUUUGAAUCGGCUGUUAGAUGACAACAGGGAGCUGUUUGUUCCAGAGCUUCAAGAGACUAUUCCUGCUCAUCCUAACUUUAUGCUUUUUGCUACUCAAAAUCCACCUGUGCUCUAUGGGGGACGUAAAAUGCUGUCUAGGGCAUUCCGCAACCGUUUCAUUGAAGUGAAUGUUGAUGAAAUCCCGGAAGAUGAGCUAAUCACAAUUUUGGAGCAGCGCUGUAUAGUUGCUCGCAGUUAUGCCACAAAAAUGGUUCAAGUUAUGAAAGAUCUGCAAAUGCAUAGACAAAACAGUAGAGUGUUUGCCGGCAGACAUGGUUUCAUUACACCAAGAGAUUUAUUCCGUUGGGCCAAUCGGUACCGAACAUUCGAGGGGAAGUCAUACGAGGAUCUGGCUAAGGAUGGGUAUUUACUUCUUGCAGAGAGAUUGAGGGACGACAAUGAGAAAAUAGUUGUUCAAGAAGCAUUGGAACGUCACCUACGUGUUAAACUCAACAUCCCUGAUCUAUAUAACUUGGAAAGCAUCUACGGGGAGAGCUUAUCUUCUCAUGCUAUAAGACAAAGAGUACAAGAAAGCUUUGGACAUAUCACUUGGACGAAAAGUAUGUGGAGGUUAUUCUUCCUCAUUGAGCGUUGUUACAGGUCACGGGAACCUGUCCUCCUUGUUGGUGAAACUGGUGGGGGGAAAACAACAGUAUGCCAGGUCUUGAGUGCUGUUCUUGGAGUGAAGUUACACAUUUUGAACUGCCACCAAUAUACUGAGACAUCAGACUUCAUCGGGGGAUUUUCUCCUGUGCGUGAUAGGUCAACAAUAGCGUUGGAGUACAAGCAUCUUAUUUCAACAUUGAAGGGAAUGAAAAUUUUCAUUCAUGUUGCUGGAGAUGUGCUAUUUCCAUCUGAUAUAUCUGGAGCCAUUAGCGUCGUGAAUCGUAUGAAUGAAAUACUUGAUAGAUACAGAAAAGAAAAGGAACUGUUUCCGGAGGUGCCACCUCAAGAUAUUGAUGACAUGGAGCAAAUUAAGUUGAAAUUGAUGCAUCUUCAUCAGAAGUCGAAGGCAAUUUUUCUUUGGCAGGAUGGGCCACUUGUGCAAGCAAUGAAGAGCGGAGAUCUUUUCCUUAUUGACGAAGUUUCUUUGGCUGACGACAGUGUACUUGAACGGCUGAACAGUGUUCUGGAACCUGAAAGAAAAUUGUCACUGGCCGAGCAAGGUGGUUCUGUGCUAGAGAAGAUUGUAGCACAUCCAAAUUUCUUUAUCCUUGCAACAAUGAAUCCAGGUGGCGACUAUGGAAAAAAAGAGCUUUCUCCAGCACUAAGAAACCGAUUCACAGAAUUGUGGGUUCCAGCUGUUACAGAUGUUGAUGAACUCAAGAGCAUAGCUGUAGAGAGGUUCAGCAAAGCUGAACUCUCUUGCUUUGGAGAUUGUAUCGUUAAUUUCUUGAAGUGGUUCAACCACCUGCACACUGGAAGAAUGCUCACCAUACGCGAUCUGUUAUCCUGGAUUUCGUUUAUCAAUUUGACAGAGAUGAAACUUGGAUCACAACAAGCUUUAAUACAUGGUCUGUUCCUUGUACUACUUGAUGGGCUCACAUUGGGAAUGAAUCUUGCUAAAUCGGAGGCUACUGAGUUGAGAAGAACAUGCAUGUCCUUUAUUUUAGAAGAGCUGCAGAAGGUUGAGGGGAAACCCUUAAAUUCACGCUUGAAUGAUCUAAAGAACUAUGGCUGGGGUGAUGAUAUAACAAAAACUGAUAUUGAUUGUAAUCAUCCAGAUGAUUUUGGCAUUGCACCAUUCUAUAUCACUAAAGGUCAUUUUGCUUGUAAGCAGCAGGGAUUUUUAUUCACGGCACCCACUACCAGCAAGAAUGUUUUGAGAGUAUUGCGUGGCAUGCAACUGCCCAAACCUCUUUUGUUAGAAGGUAGUCCUGGAGUUGGUAAAACAAGCUUAAUUAUGUCAUUAGCUGGAUUUUCUGGUCACAAUGUCGUGCGAAUAAACCUAUCUGAGCAGACAGAUAUGAUGGAUCUUUUAGGUUCGGACUUACCACUUGAAGGGGAGAAUGGAAUAGAAUUUGCCUGGUCGGAUGGUAUUCUUCUUCAGGCUUUAAAGAACGGAAGUUGGGUUCUGUUGGAUGAACUCAAUCUGGCUCCCCAAUCUGUCCUAGAGGGUCUUAAUGCCAUUCUAGACCACCGUGCAGAGGUCUAUAUACCCGAGCUUGGCCAGACCUACAAAUGUCCACAGUCCUUUCGUGUCUUUGCGUGCCAGAAUCCUUCAUCACAGGGUGGUGGACGGAAAGGCCUCCCCAAGUCUUUCUUGAACCGCUUCACCAAGGUUUAUGUUGAUGAAUUAAAAGAAGACGAUUAUUUUUCCAUUUGUAAAUCAGAAUAUCCAUUACUCAGUGAUGAUCUGCUCAGAAACCUGAUUUGCUUUAACAAUAGGCUCUUCACAGAUACCAUGAUACACAGGAAAUAUGGCCAAGAGGGUUCUCCUUGGGAAUUUAAUCUACGUGAUAUUAUGAGGUCUUGUCAGAUGAUAGCAGAUUCACCAGAUACUUCAAAGAAUGACUGCUUUCUAAAUACUGUAUAUCUUCAACGAAUGCGAACUGCGGUUGACCGCAAUGAAGUUCUCAAGCUUUUUGAAGAAGUCUUUCAGAUAAAGCCCAGCAUUCAUCAGUCGAAAAUGCUUUAUGUCAAUGCGCAUUGCUUAGUUGUUGGAAAUGCGUCUAUUAGAAGAAAUAAUUCCCGGUCAUACGCAGUUCAGAUUAACCAACUAAACAUACUUCCUGGUAUUCUUCAUAGUCUUGAAGCUGCUAUCCACUGUAUCCAUCAAGGUUGGUUGUGCAUUCUUGUCGGACAACACUCAUCUGGGAAAACCUCGUUAAUCCGCUUGCUUGCUCAGCUGUCUGGCAAUACAGUGAAUGAGUUGAAUUUGUCAUCUGCAACUGAUGUGUCAGAAUUGCUGGGGUGCUUUGAACAGUAUAACUUCUUCAGACACUACAAAGAGGUCAUAUCACAAGUUGAGCGUUAUGUUAAUGAAUAUUUCAGCUUGAGUAUGGAUAUACGUUGGAAGAAGGAUUUGAUUAUGGUCAGAAAGGGUUUGUUUGAGAAAUGGUUUAAAUUUGUGGUUGCGAAAAAAUAUUCUUCAAUCGACACUUCCACAUUUAUUGAGAUGGGCAGGAAUGCAUCUUUGCCACCAUUGAGCUUGGUCAUAGACAUAGUUGAGCAGAUGAAGAGUGACCUGGAAUUGCUUGACUUGCCUAUAUCACUGACCAAAGAUGAUUUGAGUAAAACACUGAAGUCCAUCUACAGCUUGCAGCAGAAAGAAGCUCUACACCAACCAGUUAAAUUUGAAUGGGUCGCUGGAGACUUGAUCAGGGCCAUUGAACGCGGUGAAUGGGUUAUUCUGGACAAUGCGAAUUUGUGUAAUCCUACUGUACUUGAUAGAAUAAAUUCUUUGUUUGAGAAAGAAAGGUCCAUUGUAGUGAAUGAAUGUGGUCUCGUUGAUGGAAAUCCUGUAGUUCUGAAGGCUCAUCCUAACUUCAGAAUGUUUUUGACAGUUAAUGCGAAGUAUGGUGAAGUUUCAAGAGCCAUGCGAAAUAGAGGAGUGGAGAUAUUUCUGAUGGAGCAAAGUCGGUGUCUGGAAGGGUGCCCGAAUGUGCCUGAGAAUAGUGAGAGGAAGGACGUGACAAGAUUUUUAAUUUCUUGUGGUGUACCUAGAAUGGAAUUGAUAUCAUCAAUGACUGAAGCACACCUCUAUGCAAAAGCUGCUGGAUUACGUCUUGGUAUAAAUAUUACUAUUCUUGAGAUCACACGAUGGGUUCAACUGUUCCAACAACUUCUUAUUAAAGGAAAUCAGCUUAGUUGGAGCCUACAUCUAAGUUGGGAACACACUUACCUACCCUCGUUGGGUCAAGUUAGUGGAUCUGAUGUUGUUGAGGAGGGAAAAUUAAGGUUUUUGACCAAUGUUGACGGUUGUUCAGCUGGUUUGCCUUGUGAUUUUUCGUUGUCCUUGCCUGGUGGUUGGCCAAUUGAACUGAAACUAAGGGAUUUUAUUUGGUACUCGAAAGAAUCUUGUGUCCAAAGAAACUGCAUGUAUCUACAAUCAUUGGGUGCCCAGUAUGCUGCUUAUCAACUAAGCAAUUUGGAAGGUAGUUCAUCCUUAAUAGGACCUAGUAACAUCCAUCCAUAUGUUCUUCCUGCUUCAAGCUUAUAUGCACUGCAAUUUCCGACUUUGUCCGGUCAGCAUUCUGUUAAGACUCGUGUAACUGGGGGAUUUAAUUCAGAGUUAGCUGGUCAGAUGCUUUUCAUUGCCGCAAACUGGGUAAUGGAGCAAUCUACGAAAAGUGAUCUUGAUUUGUAUGGGAUAUGGUUUAAAUGGUAUAAUGGUCUGCUCCAGCCAUACUGCAGCUUCUUUGAAAACUAUGGUAAUAUUCUUAAGCAAGAAUCCGAGCAUCCUGUCUGGCAUAGCAUCCUCGAAUGUUAUGGGGAAAUAACUGCUUAUCACAAGGUUGAUGCUGCUCAUCCUAUUCCAUUGCUGUCGACGAGGUUGCUGGAUAUGGGUGGUUGUGACACCCUUAAAACUUGCCAAAAGCGGCUUCAUAAGGCUCUUAAUGGUUUGAACUUGUUGCGGCUUACAUUAUGGCAAUGGCAAUCUGAGACAGUUCUUCCUGAUUUUGGUGUUCUAAAAGCUGCUUUGUUGCCGGCAUUGAAGUCCCUCAGAUGCUUGGAGGAUGAGGUACUCAAGUUGAUUGUGAGCUCUCGGAAGCUGCUGCAGAUAUACACUCGUAUCCUGGAUUAUCACAGAUCAAUAUGGAAGAUGAUAGUCUCGUCUCAGUUUGAGGGCUUACCAGUUGUUUGGAAUCUUCUGAGGAAGGAAAUUCUGAAGCUGCAGCCAAAAUUCCCAGAAGUAGUUGGUAUCUUUCUGAUGGAAAGCGUCAAUCUGAACAACCUCCAAGAUUUCAAUUCACAAAAUAGCAAACCAACUUUGUGGAUCCAUGGUGGCCAUCCUCUUGUACCAUCAUCUGGAAGAGUCUUCUACAAAUUCCAAGAAAUUGUAGCAUUUUCUGCAGCUGUUUGGCCAUGCAAGAAUCUUUCAAAGAAACAGCUUGAUGAUAAGCAACAAAUAAUUGAUGCCAUGUUGUCAGCCAAUCAGGAUCUUAGAUGCCUUGCGUUGGAAGGUGUUUAUAUAGCUUUCCGUGCUGUAUCUAAGCCUGAGGAAGAGGAGUCGACAGUUCUGGCCCAGUUGGAUGAAAUUCAUAAGAGUCUUGUUCGAAAGGUUGAGUAUGAGAGGAAUAAUCUAGGAUUAUUGUUGAAGACUUCCAAUGCUGAAGUUAAAGUCUGUUGCUCAGUCUCAUCUGAUAUCUUGUGUAACACUUGUGGUUUCAAUGGUUGGUUAGCGAGUCUUCCUUUGCUCAAUUUGAAGAGCUUGAACUUGGACACUGCUUUACUUCAAUGCCUAUCCAAGUGGAUACAGAUAGAUUCUUCUCAAAUUCGGCAGAGUAUAGCAAACUCAGAAGCCCUGCUUACAUAUGCUAUUGACUACUCAUUGGAGUUAUCGUCAAGAUCUCCUUCGGAGUUUACCCAGCAUAAGAUCGUUUGGUGGAUUCAUCAUAACUGGGACACAGUUGAGAAUGUCGAUGCAAAAUUUGCUAGCUCGCUUCUUGAAAUAUGGUACAACUAUCACAAGUCUCUGUGGACUUAUUGCUCUGGAAGUCCAAAGGCCCUGUUCCCUCUUACACACGAUGAAACCUCUGAUCUAGCACACCUGACAAAAAUGGAUGCCAUCAAUACUAUUAUCCGCGGUGAUUUAUGUGUGAUGGAUUAUCAGAAGAACAGUUUAAUGCUUAGAAUGUCAUCUAGAAGUCUCUGGGAAGGUGUCUCGUAUGCGGGAAACUUAGUUGGUGGUCUCUAUUCUGCUGCUGAUUCCCUCUUCAAACAGAUCAUAUUUGCCCAUAAGAAGCAUUUCAAGCCAGAAGAGUACAGCCAGUUGGAGCACAUCCUGUUUCAACAAUCGGAACAUCAUCUGGAGGAUAAAUGCCUCCAUACUGCUUGUGCACUGUUAUCUUCAUCAAGUCAUGCAGUACUUGCUUCAUUCUCAGGGUCAAAUAAACUCAUAGGGUCCUUGCUUCUGGAGUUGUACUCAUCGUACUCGCGUGACUCUUUAUUGCAUCUUGGGGCUGCCUGGGUAUAUAUUGGGAUGUUGCGUUUCCAGCUAUUGUUGAGCUCAUACAAUCCAGAUCCUGCGUUCCUAUCUGCUUUUAUGCAUUCUCAGAUUCUGGAGAAGAUUUCACUCCUAGAUCUCAAGGGAAAGGUUCGUCAUGAAUGUGAAGAAUUGGCGGGCUCUAACUUAGCAGGAGAUUGUCAUGAUCAGAAGUUAAUGCAAGAGCUGAAAACUGAAGAGAAGAAUCUCCGGUCAAAGGUUGUAUUUCGACCUCGACAGUCUAAACACAAGAGUUUGAUUGCAGCAUGCUGUGAAUUUGAGGGACGGUUGUCUGACUGCAAGGAUCUGGUAAGUCAUUUAAACUGCAAUGGUGCUGGGCAAUUGGAGGUCAACAGAAUCUGCAAUUGGCAGAUAACAUCAAGAAACUUUAUUAAGAGGCUGACAGAAGAGUAUGGGGAAUAUGUGGAUUUGAUUCAGCCAGCGCAAGUUGCCGUAUACGAAAUGAAACUUGGCUUGACAAUUGCUCUAUCUGGUUCUCUUGAGAGAGAAUAUUUGAAGAAGGUGAAAGAAGAUGAUAUUGAAAAAGUUCUGGGUGCAGUUUUUACUUUUAUGCAGUUUCCCAAUGGACAUGUUGCUGGAAUGACCGUAGUGGGCGUUCCAGAUUUAACAAAUUAUUCAAUGGGUGAUCAAUUGGAAACUCAAUACAGUGAGUUCAAGGAUGUAGAUAUAUUGGAGAAGCUGUCUUGUGUGUCGAGUCAGUUAAAUGUUGGCGAAGUUGCAGAUGAAGUGAGAUCCCAUUCGCAGAUGCUAGUAACAUUUCAUCAUGUUUCUUUAGUACGGACAACAUACCGUAUCUUUCAUUCCCUUAUCAUGGAUAAGACUUCUUAUCUGUCUUUGAAGAAGAUCUUCGAUUAUUUUGAAAGCAUGUGGAUCAAUAUGAAAUCUAGCGUGAAGGCUAGGGAAAAUGAUGAUUCUCAGUAUUACAAGUUCAGGUCCCGUAUCAUCGAUAUACAGGACAUCUUUGAAGGAGAUGUGCCUUCAAUUUCAGAUAUAGACUCUGAUGGCAAUGCUGGUCCAGAUAAUGAAGAAAAAUUGGAGCUUGAGUUUUUCAAAAUUAUGGAGAGAAGUGACGAAGAUGAUGGUUCUGUUGAAGACAAAUGGGAUCUUGUUCCAGAGUCUGCUCUGAAAUGUAUUAUAUUAACACAUAACCAAUUGUUUGGAUCUCCUGAUCUUAUUGAAAAGACUGAAAGAUUCCAAAUUAGUGAUCAGCAGAAACUUAAGUCUUUUGUAGACUCGUACGAUUUUGGUGCAAGAAUAUUGAAAGGCCUGCCAGAAUUGACUUCUUCAACACUAGAUGAGAAACUCAUGCCUGAGCAUUUACUCCGUGUUUGUCUAGAAUAUCAGCGAACCUGUGCAGCCUCUCUAGGCAGCAAUAGUUAUAAUGCUUACAAGGACCCGAAUCCUCCUGUUUUAUUCAAAAUGGUUGAGCCACUAACUGCACUUCAAGAGAAAGUUAGGACCUUUUUAGACGAGUGGCCUGAUCAUCCAGGUUUACUGAAAAUAUUGGAGAUAAUUGCUUCCCUUUUGGCAAUGCCCCUGAGUGCUCCACUUUCUAAGGUCUUACUUGGAUUGCAACUUUUGGCUGGGAAAGCUCAAACAUUGCAGGAAAAUGACUCCAAGUUCUUUCUUAAAGAUCAUCUUCCACCAAUAUUCAUGCUUCUAUCUUCAUGGCAAAGGCUUGAGUUAGAAUGUUGGCCAAUCCUGCUUGAGGAGGUCCAGGGAAAGUAUGAAACUAAUGCUGCAAAACUAUGGUUUCCACUGCGAGCAUUGCUUUCAAAGUCUUGUGACAUUCCAAUGAAUGAUGAUUUGUCUAUAAUCAAGAGCAUAGAGGAGUUCGUCCAAACAUCAAAUCUUGGAGAAUUCAAGACACGAUUGCAUCUCCUCCUUGCCUUCCAUGGUGAAUUUUCUGAUGGUUCUAGUGUGGGUGUUUAUUUAAGUACUCCAGUGAAGAAAAUCCAGAACAUUCUGUACAACAUGUUUGGUUACUACAUGCAGUUCUUGUCACUUGUUCUUCGGCAAAUUGAGGUCAGUAAAGAAUCAGUUGAAAAGGAGUUGAAAGAUCAGGUUAAGCUUUAUCGAUGGGAUCAAGAUCCAUACAGUCUUGCUUCGAUUGAAAAUUUCAAGAGGACGAGGCAGAAAAUUUUUAAGCUUCUGCAACGGUUCAAUGAUAUUUUGAAGAAACCUGUCAUUACCCUACUGAAUGAAGAGGCUACAGCAAGAAAAGUUCCAUGCUGGCUUGAUCCUGAGAUAUCUGAAUCACAGUUUCCUGUUGACACGGAGAAACUUGGUGAAAGGUUUUUGUGGUACAACAAGUGGAAAAGCCAGGCUUCUCUGUCAUUGCAAACAUUAUUGCAUGCAAACGAUACUGCAGUUCCCAAAAUGAAAGAAUCUGUGUAUGCUGUUGUGCACAAUAUGGACCACCAACAAGAUGAAGCUGAACUCAACGACAGAUUGAAAUUCUUUUGGUAUGCACUUGAGAAGAUUUGUAAUGCGGCUGAUUUUGGUUCUAUACUGAAGCAUGGUAAAAAGAACCAGAAGAAAACUGCUUUGUCCAGUUUGUUCAAGACACUUGAGGAAUGUGGACUCUCAAAGCACAGGCCAAUUAGUCAUGAGUGGGGAAACGAGUUGGAUGCACCAAGCCCAUUGUUUUUGGAGCAGUCAUACAACACAACACAUUUACUCCAAGUGAUCACGCAAAAAGCGUGUGAAGAUGUUAGCACUAUUCAUUCUACCCUAUUGGGCGCAAAUAACUGGAAGCUUGCAAAUCAGCAGUACUUCAGAUGUUUGGCAACGGUGCAACAACUUAAGCAAAUUUCCUUGAAAUUUAACAAAGAUCUAGACUUGCAAGAGGUUAAUAAGGCUGCGUCCUUUAUGAACCAUCUUUUGACUACGUUGUGUGAACAAAGACAUCUUGCUUAUGAUCUAUUUGAGCAGCUGAACCAGUUUCGGCAUAUGAUCUUAUUAUUAGGUUCAGGAGGGAAGAGCCAAUCUCUAUCAUCCUGCCAAAAUGUACUGCUACUUUCCAUGUGGCAGCAAAAGCAAUUUUUUGACAAUGUGCUAGCUAUGGCCAUGGACACCAACUUGUUGCUCAAAACCUUCAAAGGUUCUCAUCAUGCCUCCUGUGACAACUUUGAAGUUGCCGCGCUGUCAACUCUUUUGGAGAAGUUUAUUACAAGAUUUUCUGAAUCCAAGGAUUUAUUAGACAAAUUCUUAGUUGGAUCCAACAAUAUCCUUGCUGGUGCCCACAAAAAUAUGCCUCUUGCUACAAUAGAGAUGGAGCAACUUGUUGCUGCAAAUUGCCAGCUUGUCGACACAUUUAGAGAGGAUAUACAGGUUUUAUGCCACCAGGAUGUUUCACUGAGAUCUGUGAAGAAAGUUCUGCUCUCUCGUUUCGAAGAGUUACUGGACAAGGGGAAGAUAGCAACAGAGAGUUUCUCUAGAGAACUUAAAGACAAGCAUGGACUAUUCUCUGAUGAACAAAAGCCUGAAGAUUCAUACACAGAAGCUUUUAAGGAAACUUUCGCACUAGCUGUCAGUGUUGUAGGACAGCUCACUGGUCUUGGGAGAUCCAUUGAUGAAACUAAAGAACCCUCGUUAGAGGGAAAUAUUACUUCCUGGAAAGAUAUUUUGCAUUCGUAUGUCAUGAAUCUUCAAAUGGACCAUGUCUGUGACGCUGGUGAAAAUCUUUCUGUUUUAGUGAGGAAAUUGUUGGACUACAAACCUGAGAUGUGUUCUAUAAUAGAGGCGGAGUUAAUGCAUCUUCGUGUUUUGCUGCGUGUGAUCCUGUCAUCAGCCGAAGGCAUACUUUCUGAACUUUUGGAAGCUCACAGAAGAACAUCUGAAAUGACUCAUGCACUCGGGGAUCUUUUUAUUUAUCUAUGUGCGGAGGGGUUUGGUUGUGUCGAAGAUGCAGCUGAAGAUGCUUCAGACGGACAGAAAGAUGCAACAGGAACUGGAACUGGCAUGGGUGAGGGGGAGGGUCAAGAGAGUGCAAGCUCUAAAAUUGAUGAUAUAUCACAACUUGAGGGCACCAAUGAAAUGGAUGCUCAGUGUAAGGCAGAUCAAACUCCUAAGGAUGAUGAUCAAGCAAUUGAAAUGGAAGGAGAUUUUGCUGCUGAAUUAGCUGAUGUUUCUGAGAAUGAAAGCAAUGACUCAGGCAGCGAGGGUGAAGACAACUUGGAUAAUCAGAUGGGUGACACUGGUGAUGCCAGUGAAAUGGUUGCCAAGAAAUCUUGGGACAAGAAUGAAGAUGAUGAUUCUAAGACGUCUGACGAGAAGUAUGAGUCGGGUUCAUUAGCCAAGGGGGCAGAUGAAAAUAAUAGGGAAUUGCGUGCUAAGGACGAAUGUCCCAUGGAGACAGAUCCCGUGGAGACAGAUGAUAACGAGCAAGGCAAGAAUAAUAAUAUGGAUGAUGAACCAAGUGCUUGUGAGGAUGCUGAUGAUGUAAUGAACAAAGCUGAUGCAUAUGAUGAUCGAACAGGGCCUGAACUCUCUGAACUGGACAAUGAUGAUGAGGAUGUCAACAUGGAUGAUACAGAACAAACCGAUGGCCUGGGUGCUGACAAUCCUGACAACGAAGAUAUGGGCCCAGAAGAGGGGCAUCAAGAAGAUGAUAGUGCAGUUGCGUCAGAAGAUAUGGAGGAAGACGAUGCCACACAUGAUGGUAACAAUGUGGUUGAUAAUGAAGGGGAACAUGAUGAAGAUGGAAAUGUUGAGCCAAACAACAUGGAGAAGCAACAGUUGGACAAAAUGGAGUCAACUACACAUCCUUCACAAGGUAUACAACCCAACCAAUUGGAAACAGACUCCAACAGAGAAUCUGAAGCAAACUUGGCCAACAGCAUGGACAUGAGCAGUGGAGUUGCUCCUUCUGUUGAUUUUUCAAGUAAUGAAGUGCCUAGUCUGGAAAUCUCUAUGCCCAACUCUGGUGAAGGUUCAAGAAAUUUGUCCAACUCCAAGCCAGAGUUGCAGCCUGAUGCUCCACCGUCACACAUCAAGCAGACAGAUCCUUUCAGGAGCAUUGGAGAUGCAUUGGAGGACUGGAAAGAACGAGCAAGAGUCUCAGAUGAUACCCAGGAUCAUCAACCCGAAACUGAACACCAUAUUGAUGAUGAGAGUGCUACUGAAUUUCGUUAUGUGCCUGAGGGUGAGCAGAGCACCUCUCAAGCAUUAGGUGACGCGACAGCUGAUCAAAUCAAUGAUGAGCUGCAAGUCAGGCAACCUAUGUUAGAAGAUGAAACCCGUGCCGAAGUUGAACAACCCGAUGAGAGGAUACCCGGGGAUGACAAGCCUGAAAUGCCCCAUCUUCAAACUUCGCAAUCACGUGCCAACAAGUCCGAAAGUGCCAACAGAUUGGAGAGAAGAGAUAUUCAGACUGAUGCAUCCAUUGAGGAUUUGGUUCAAGAUGAAAUAUUUGACACUUUUGGAGAUGUUGUUUCAUUCAAGCAGCGUUUGACAGAUGACAGGAUGGUUCAGCUGGAUGCCCUAACCAGUGACAGGGAGAUGUCUACUCAUAUGGAUCUGGACAUAAUUAAUGAAGAAACGGAAAGGGCUAUCAUGGACUGGAGAAAUCUUGAACUGGCAACCAUGAAAUUGUCCCAAGAACUGGCUGAGCAAUUGCGCCUUGUCAUGGAACCAACUCUUGCAAGUAAGCUUCAAGGAGAUUACAGAACUGGAAAGAGAAUAAACAUGAGGAAGGUCAUUCCAUAUAUUGCGAGCCAGUUUCGCAGGGACAAGAUAUGGUUGCGACGAACUAAACCCAAUAAACGAAAUUACCAGGUGGUUAUUGCUGUCGAUGACUCACGAAGCAUGUCCGAGGGCAAGUGUGGAAAAGUUGCAAUUGAAGCAUUAGUUACAGUUUGCCGGGCCAUGUCGCAGCUUGAGGUUGGACAGUUCGCAGUUGCAAGUUUCGGGAAAAGAGGGAAUGUUAAAGUCUUGCAUGAUUUUGAUCAGAUCUUCAAUGCCGAAGCUGGAGUCAAGAUGAUCUCUAGUCUGUCCUUUGAGCAAGACAACAAAAUUGAGGAUCAACCAGUUGCGGAUCUCUUGAUGCAUCUGAAUAUAAUGCUUGAUGCUGCUGUGGCAAGGUCGCGCACGCCAUCAGGACAAAAUCCACUUCAGCAACUCAUACUUGUAAUAUCUGAUGGAAAGUUCCAUGAAAAGGAAAAUUUGAGGCGAUGUAUCAGGAAUGUUCUAAACAGAAGGAGAAUGAUUGCAUAUGUACUCCUAGAUAGUCAUGAGGAAUCCAUUAUGAACUCACUGGAAGCGUGCUAUGAAGGAGACAAGCUAAUCUUGGGAAAAUAUAUGGACUCAUUUCCGUUCCCUUACUAUGUUAUGCUGAAGAACAUCGAAGCGCUUCCUCGCACACUGGCCGAUUUGCUUAGACAGUGGUUUGAGCUGAUGCAGAGCGCUAAUGAAUGA
rnacentral:rRNA from 1 species